ACUCCUACGGGAGGCAGCAGUGGGGAAUAUUGGACAAUGGGCGCAAGCCUGAUCCAGCCAUGCCGCGUGUGUGAAGAAGGCCUUAUGGUUGUAAAGCACUUUAAGCGAGGAGGAGGCUUACCUAGCUAAUACCUAGGAUAAGUGGACGUUACUCGCAGAAUAAGCACCGGCUAACUCUGUGCCAGCAGCCGCGGUAAUACAGAGGGUGCAAGCGUUAAUCGGAAUUACUGGGCGUAAAGCGCGCGUAGGUGGCCAUUUAAGUCAAAUGUGAAAUCCCCGAGCUUAACUUGGGAAUUGCAUUCGAUACUGGAUGGCUAGAGUAUAGGAGAGGAAGGUAGAAUUCCAGGUGUAGCGGUGAAAUGCGUAGAGAUCUGGAGGAAUACCGAUGGCGAAGGCAGCCUUCUGGCCUAAUACUGACACUGAGGUGCGAAAGCAUGGGGAGCAAACAGGAUUAGAUACCCUGGUAGUCCAUGCCGUAAACGAUGUCUACUAGCCGUUGGGUCCUUUGAGGACUUAGUGGCGCAGCUAACGCGAUAAGUAGACCGCCUGGGGAGUACGGUCGCAAGACUAAAACUCAAAUGAAUUGACGG
rnacentral:rRNA from 1 species